AUUGAGGAAGCGUUUUGCCUAUGUGGACAGAAAUCACUCCCUUAAGGGCGUGCUUUAUGUCCAAGUAGGCAAAAUGCUUCCUCAGGA
rfam:Gossypium raimondii chromosome 5, whole genome shotgun sequence.